rnacentral:rRNA from 1 species
GACGAACGCUGGCGGCGUGCCUAAUACAUGCAAGUAGAACGCUGAAGGAGGAGCUUGCUUCUCUGGAUGAGUUGCGAACGGGUGAGUAACGCGUAGGUAACCUGCCUGGUAGCGGGGGAUAACUUUUGGAAACGAUAGCUAAUACCGCAUAAUAGUAGAUGUUGCAUGACAUUUGCUUAAAAGGUGCAAUUGCAUCACUACCAGAUGGACCUGCGUUGUAUUAGCUAGUUGGUGGGGUAACGGCUCACCAAGGCGACGAUACAUAGCCGACAUGAGAGGGUGGUCGGCCACACUGGGAGUGAGACACGGCCCAGACGCCUACGGGAAGCAGCAGUAGGGAAUCGUCGGCAAUGGACGGAAGUCUGACCGAGCAACGCCGCGUGAGUGAAGAAGGUUUUCGGAUCGUAAAGCUCUGUUGUAAGAGAAGAACGAGUGUGAGAGUGGAAAGUUCACAGUGUGACGGUAUCUGACCAGAAAGGGACGGCUAACUACGUG